CCAUCACCACGGGGUCAGAGUAAAUCAAACAUAUAACACUAGUUAUAUGCAUCAAUCGAUACCAGAUUAAUCAUUUCAGAAAUUGUUAAAGAACGGAGCACGGAAAGAUAAUAACUUACUGUCGCUAUAUGAAUCGGAAAUUAAAGGAAGACAGAUUGGGGGAAUUUCAGCCAUUGAUGCAGUGAUGUAGCUCAUUAAAAGCACAAACAGAUUAAUGUUGCUGUUGAUAAGCCAAUCUUUACUUUUACCCAUUAAUUAUGUAUUUAUGUUAUCAUUGAAAAUUGAUCCACCAUUGCAGAUGUGUAUAGGAAGAGAGAAGAAAGUGGGGGGUUAAUUGAAAAUUGAUGGUGGAUGAUUCUUGUAGAUGUUGCACAGUAUGGGAACGGAGAAAAAGAGAGAGGAAGGUGUGGUGUGGUGUGGGGUGGGGUGGGGUGGGGUGGGGUGAGGUGGGGGUAGGGAUGGGGUUGUUAUUUUCUUUUUUAUAAAAGAGUGGGUCCCACAAAUACAUAAAUCUAUUUAAUAGGUUAAGUUAUUUUGUUUUAUAGUAAGGGUAUUUUUGUCAUUUCACAUCCUGUUAACUGAGAAAACUAACUGAUGUUAGACCUAGGGACUAUCCGGGAACGAAAAUUGAAAAGUUGGGGACUAUACAGGUAGUUUUAGAAAGUUGGGGACUAUAGGUGAAAAAAGGCGAAACCACAGGGACUAUCCGGGCAUUUUUCUCUUAUUUUAUUUACCCAAUAGGGAACCAUAGUUGAGACACCCAGGUAAUCCUGCAUAACUCCUAAAAAUUUUCAUAGCAAUCAGAAUCAGGAUCAGGGCCCCUAAAACCCGGGGGGGUAAACCCUAGUGGACGAUUAUCUUCAAAUCUCGUUGUCGAAUUCGAAUUUAAAGAAAUCAUCAACUCAGCAGGCCUAGUCCCACACGUGGCAACCUUAUGACCAUUACGUGUCCCUUACGGACCGUAAGGGAUAAGUCUUACGGUCCGUAAGCCUGUCAAAUUUCGUGUAUAAAUAGCAGGCAUCGGCAUUUGCAGUCUGCUCUUCAUUCGACGAUUAAAUUCCGAUUAUACACCGAGUUAUCAUCCAAAUGCUCUAAAAACACACACGCGAAUCACUAAUUAGUAUAGCAGGGUGCUGCUACGAUACAGGGUAUUAAUUCGAUCGCUAUUACGAUUCAUUUUCCGACCGAUCAAUAUAUCCAAUGGAUGUUUAAGUGCCACCCACAUUAGGGUUAUACUUUGUCGUUCGUCGUUAAUUCGAUGGAUGUUUAAGUAUCGCACUUUGUCGUUCGUUGUGAGAAUUUGAUCUCGUGAGUUAUCGUAACUGUUGUAUUAAGUUACCUACCUAGUUCGUAUGCACUAGAUUACAAGGCUAAAUCAACAGGCUAAGCUCUGCCUGUGUAAAUCUGCAAUAUAUCAAGGCUUAUCUGUAGACUAAACUUUGGCCGUAUGAAUCUGCAUGAUUAUAAUGUAAUUACAGUAGAUUGGAGUAAGGAUUGGAUCCGGCACUAAAAGACAUCAAGAAGUGGCUUAUUUUAUUAAUUAAAUCAAAUUAAGAAAUAUUGUAUUUAUUAAAAGCUACCUUUGUAACAAUGGAAUUUAUUCCAUCUAUUUAAAUAAAAUCCGGUGUUUCUAAACUCUGAUAUUUUUCCUAACUCACGGUCCUGAUGAAAUUUCUGCUGCAGUGUUUUUCAAAAUAAUCACCGGUACCACUGGACUGCUCGCGGCUCCCGAUUCCGGCCAGGAUGGGGUCGGGGGACGUUACACCAUGUAUUUGUAAAGUCUUGUAUUUGUAAUGUUCGCAUAACCGCCAAUGCCCACCCUGACUUU
rnacentral:lncRNA from 1 species